UUCCGGGCCAGCAACCCGAAGCAAUAUCUUGUGAUAUUUUUAUCUGUUACUGUUUAAAAAGUAUGAUUUCAUCCAGUAACAAGGAAUGCUAUAGCAUACGUGACAAUUUUUAUAACGAAUACGGCAUCAAUUAAAGCAUAUUUAAUUCAGUAAGAAUUAAGUAGGAAGAUAAUUCGUAGAAGUUGCAUAAACGUAGUAUUAUUGGAAAACGCAAAUAAAGUAACUUGUUUUGUCAGGUUGUAGGAGAUGGGUGUAAGAAGUAUCCUUAAAACACAAAAUUGGCUAAUAUAGAUUAAUUGAAGAAUGUUGCAAAUAAAAUGUUGCGCCAAUGCAACGUUGUUCCUUAAAGGAUUAAUGGAUACUAAAACAUGGUAAUAAUAUAACAUGUUGAUAUUUUACGAUGUACAAGUAAUCGAUGAGGACGAGUUAUUUCACACUAUGAGAUGUGAGACGUUUGCAGUGUAUGCAGCGGGCGAUAAUCUGAUAUCGUCUGAACGU